AUACGUAGGGGGCGAGCGUUGUCCGGAAUUACUGGGCGUAAAGGGUGCGUAGGUGGCCUUUUAAGUUGGAUGUGAAAUACCCGGGCUUAACCUGGGGGGUGCAUCUAAUACUGGGAGGCUAGAGUGCAGGAGAGGAAAGCGGAAUUCCUAGUGUAGCGGUGAAGUGCGUAGAUAUUAGGAGGAACACCAGUGGCGAAGGCGGCUUUCUGGACUGUAACUGUCACUGAGGCACGAAAGCGUGGGGAGC
rnacentral:rRNA from 1 species